GGAGCGGUAGUUCAGUUGGUGAGAGCAUCGGCCUGUCACGCCGAAGGUCGCGGGUUCGAGUCCCGUCCGCUCCG
rnacentral:tRNA from 1 species